CCUACGGGGGGCAGCAGUGAGGAAUAUUGGUCAAUGGACGAGAGUCUGAACCAGCCAAGUAGCGUGAAGGAUGAAUGCCCUAUGGGUUGUAAACUUCUUUUAUAUGGGAAUAAAAUGUUCCACGUGUGGGAUUUUGUAUGUACCAUAUGAAUAAGGAUCGGCUAACUCCGGGCCAGCAGCCGAGGUAAUACGGAGGAUCCGAGCGUUAUCCGGAUGUAUUGGGUUUAAAGGGAGCGUAGGUGGAUUGUUAAGUUAGUUGUGAAAGUUUGCGGCUCAACCGUAAAAUUGCAGUUGAAACUGGCAGUCUUGAGUACAGUAGAGGUGGGCGGAAUUCGUGGUGUAGCGGUGAACUGCUUAGAUAUCACGAAGAACUCCGAUUGCGAAGGCAGCUCACUGGACUGCAACUGACACUGAGGCUCGAAAGUGUGGGUAUCAAACAGGAUUAGAUACCCCAGUAGUC
rnacentral:rRNA from 1 species